GGUUCGAUUCUGGCUCAGAUUGAACGCUGGCGGGAUGCUUUACACAUGCAAGUCGAACGGCAGCACGGACUUCGGUCUGGUGGCGAGGAGUGGCGAACGGGUGAUAAAUAUCGGAACGUGCCUAGUAGCGGGGAUAACUACGCGAAAGCGUAGCUAAUACCGCAUACGCCCUUCGGGGGAAAGCAGGGGACCUUCGGGCCUCGCACACUAUUAGAGCGGCCGAUAUCGGAUUAGCUAGUUGGUGGGAGUAACGGCUCACCAAGGCGACGAUCCGUAACUGGUUUGAGAGAGGACGACCAGCCACACUGGGACUGAGACACGGCCCAGACUCCUACGGGAGGCGGCGGUGAAAUUUUGGACAAUUGGGGAAACCCUGAUCCAGCCAUCCCGCGUGUGCGAUGAAGGCCUUCGGGUUGUAAAAGCACUUUUGGCAGGAAAGAAACGGCACGGGAUAAUACCCCGUGCAACUGACCGAAACACCUGCAGAAUAAGCACCGGCUAACUACGUGCCAGCAGCCGCGAUACGUAAGGGUGCAAGCGUUAAUCGGAAUUACUGGGCGUAAAGCGUGCGCAGGCGGUUUCGGAAAGAUGUAAAAAUCCCAGAGCUUAACUUUGGAACUGCAUUUUUAACUACCGAGCUAGAGUGUGUCAGAGGGAGGUGGAAUUCCGCGUGUAGCAGUGAAAUGCGUAGAUAUGCGGAGGAACACCGAUGGCGAAGGCAGCCUCCUGGGAUAACUGACGCUCAUGCACGAAAGCGUGGGAGCAAACAGGAUUAGAUACCCUGGUAGUCCACGCCCUAAACGAUGUCAACUAGCUGUUGGGGCCUUCGGGCCUUGGUAGCGCAGCUAACGCGUGAAGUUGACCGCCUGGGGAGUACGGUCGCAAGAUUAAAACUCAAAGGAAUUGACGGGGACCCGCACAAGCGGUGGAUGAUGUGGAUUAAUUCGAUGCAACGCGAAAACCUUACCUACCUUGACAUGUCUGGAAUCCCGAAGAGAUUUGGGAGUGCUCGCAAGGGAACCGGAACACAGGUGCUGCAUGGCUGUCGUCAGCUCGUGUCGUGAGAUGUUGGGUUAAGUCCCGCAACAAAGGCACAACCCUUGUCGUGGAUUGCUACGAAAGGGCACUCUAAUGAGACUGCCGGUGACAAACCGGAGGAAGGUGGGGAUGACGUCAAGUCCUCAUGGCCCUUAUGGGUAGGGCUUCACACGUCAUACAAUGGUCGGGACAGAGGGUCGCCAACCCGCGAGGGGGAGCCAAUCCAGAAACCCGAUCGUAGUCCGGAUCGCAGUCUGCAACUCGACUGCGUGAAGUCCGGAAUCGCUAGUAAUCGCGGAUCAGCAUGUCGCGGUGAAUACGUUCCCGGGUCUUGUACGCACCGCCCGUCACACCAUGGGAGUGGGUUUUACCAAGUAGUUAGCCUAACCGUAAGGAGGGCGAUUACCACGGUAGGAUUCAUGACUGGGGUGAAGUCGUAACAAAAAGGUAG
rnacentral:rRNA from 1 species